UCAGUGGCUGCCAUAAAUUCAG
rnacentral:siRNA from 1 species